rnacentral:misc_RNA from 1 species
GAUGAAGAACGUAGCGAAAUGCGAUAAGUAAUGUGAAUUGCAGAAUUCCGUGAAUCAUCGAGUCUUUGAACGCACAUUGCGCCCCCUGGUGUUCCGGGGGGCAUGCCUGUCCGAGCGUCAUUGCUGCCCUCAAGCACGGCUUGUGUGUUGGGCCCCGUCCUCCGAUCCCGGGGGACGGGCCCGAAAGGCAGCGGCGGCACCGCGUCCGGUCCUCGAGCGUAUGGGGCUUUGUCACCCGCUCUGUAGGCCCGGCCGGCGCUUGCCGAUCAACCCAAAUUUUUAUCCAGGUUGACCUCGGAUCAGGUAGGGAUACCCGCUGAACUUAAGCAUAUCAAUAAGCGGAGGA